rnacentral:rRNA from 1 species
ACAGCAGUAGCCACGGUAAUACAGAGGGUGCAAGCGUUAAUCGGAAUUACUGGGCGUAAAGCGCGCGUAGGUGGUUUGUUAAGUUGGAUGUGAAAGCCCCGGGCUCAACCUGGGAACUGCAUCCAAAACUGGCAAGCUAGAGUACGGUAGAGGGUGGUGGAAUUUCCUGUGUAGCGGUGAAAUGCGUAGAUAUAGGAAGGAACACCAGUGGCGAAGGCGACCACCUGGACUGAUACUGACACUGAGGUGCGAAAGCGUGGGGAGCAAACAGGAUUAGAUACCCGAGUAGUCCCUGUCUCUUAUAC